rnacentral:lncRNA from 1 species
CUUUAUUGUACAUUGCUUGAAGUACGUUCAUGAAAUAUUGUUCUCUAGCAUUCGAUGACUCAAUUUUUGAUCGCAAAAUCUGUGUCCCGAGUCCUCUAACAUUUAGACUUCUAUUCCGGAAAUCUGAUUAAUUCCGAAUUCCUCAUUAUUUUGUCCCACUUUUAGACUUUAGAGAUGUCACUGGAGCAAGAAUCACAUGCGUGUACAUCGGUUUUGAAGAUCUCUUUCGCUGUAGUAAUGGGAAGGAUAGAAAAUUUCACGAAGUCGAGUCAUUGCAACGAGAGGAAAAUAAAUGAAUGGAAUUGAAAAGUAUUUGCUUAAAAUUUGACCUAUUAAAUGUUAUUUAAAUUUAUAUUGUUUUGAUUUUAUUAAAGUACUUAUGUUUUAUAAUAAAUUGCAAUAAAUUUAAUUUAUUUGUUUGGAGACGGAAAUGGAAAGUCAAGGCUCGUAAUUCUAUGAGUUGCAAAAAUGUACAUAAUCUUGAGCAAGAUCGACAACGAUGAAAAAGUAGGGAAUCGAUCGUGGAAGCACAAAUGCAAGAUUGCACGUAUCUCAAUUUAGGACUUUCCAAAUUUCCUGUCACAUUGCACUUUUUCAAGGAUACCGCGAACGAUUCUGAAGAUGGCUUGGCCAAUGUUCUUUCAUGAAAUCAGCUCAUUUGAUGUUUCUUGGUUCUUUCAACAAUUUUUUUUUGCAAAUUCCCAGUUAAUCACAGGUAUACCAUGAUCUCUUAAAAAAAAAUUUCGCUCUGUCGAGAAAGAUCUCGGUAAAAUUAAAAACUAACAAAUUAAAGCUAAUGGAAACUUACUAUUUGAUCCAACUAUAUUAAGCACCUUCUUACUUUCCUAGUAUUAUCAUCAAUGAAUACAUUAUUUUGGAGGAAAUAGCCAAUAUUACGAACUGACAUUAUUAUUUUCCUGGCACCAUCGAUUCAAACUUAUCAUUAUGCAUACUAUGGCCGCAGUCGUCACAGCGUCUAGGCAUUCUAGGCACGUCAUGCCA